GUUUCACUGCGUUAGCCAGGAUGGUCUCGAUCUUCCGACCUCAUGAUCCGCCCGCCUCGGCCUCCCAAAGGGCUGGAAUUACAGGCGUGAGCCACCACGCCCGGCCCAGGAUGUGUAACUCUUUACUGAAAAGUCUUGCCACCACAUCUGCCUCAUCCUCUCUAAUCCAACCUUCAGGAAAUUGUAUUGAAACAAAAAUAGAGAAAAAUACUGAAAUAGAUACAAUGUUUUUAAAACAAGCAAAUUUUAUUAAAGGAAAAUUUUGCAGGUUUAAGGUUUGCAGGUGAAAUUUUGUAGGUGAAAAGGUUUACUUUUCACCAGUCUGUUCUGGCAUGCUUCUAAUGAUGUCAGAGUCACCUAAAAAAUAAAAAUAAAAAAACAGUAAUUUUACAAUUCAUUUAAUAGCAACUGGUACCAUAAAAUUUCUCUACCUUUGGUUAUCCCUUCUGUAGACAAUGGUCUGCAAAUUAGCACUGACUUUUUGCAAAAGUUAUCACAUUAGCUGUACUGUCAUUUUUCUUAAGGUUGACCAAAGAUAACCUAGAAUCACAGCCAUUAUAUAAUCACAUAAAAUGAUCAUAUAAUAAAAUUGGUUUAUCACCAGCAUUUAUAAAACCAGACCUAGGGAAAGAACUAGGUUUGGGGACACAUGCAUGGUCUUAAUAUAGCGAAUGUUUAGCCUGUCCUGACUAUUACAAAAUCAGAACAGCGAGAAUAUUCGCAGUAUUCUAUGAAUCAAAGAUUCACAAUUGGAAAACAGAAUGAUGUAGAUUUUUUGGCACUUUUUUUUUUCUCAAGCUAAUUUUACAUGUCUGUUCUCAAGAAGCAAGAAUUACUUUCUUCUGUUUUGCCAGAUUAUUCUCUCCUUAUAAUUUCACCUUUUACCAAAUCUAUGUCAUUAUUUCAUAGGUACUUCAUCAAAUGAAAUUCAUUAUCUGACAGUAAAAAUUUUAACUUAUAAUAAAGCCAAUUAUAAUGUAUUGGCAUUCAUUACCAAUUCUCUACAAAAUACAACUACACGAUAUGCCUUGCUAGAUCCAUAUUCUAUCUGAAUUUAGGAACCAAAGACAUUUGCGUAGUAAGAAAUACUUGUCCAGACAUUACAUUAGAAAGGCAAAAAAAAAAAAGACUUUAUGAUUUAAAAAGCAUACCUGGAUCAAUGAUAGCCAGUGUGCACACUCUGUAGUAUUUUCCGCAUGCUGUGCCCAGUUCAAUAUUAUUGCCACUGUAGUGAUGGACACCAGUUUUAGCCAACAUAGCAUAGUACUCUAUUUCAGAUUUCCUUUGGGAACCAAAAUGGGCAAAUAAAUAAAUGCGAUACCAAGUGACUGACAGACUAAAUGUUACUACUUCUUUUACUAGUGUUAAUGUUGUUAAGGCCUUCAAAAAGUAACAAAAUCACAUAUUACUCU
rnacentral:lncRNA from 1 species